GGAGUAGGCUGAAAUACAAGUCAGAUGUGAAAUUCCGGUGCUUACCAUCGGAGCUGCAUCUGAGACUGUUUUUCUUGAGGAUGGACGGAGAAAACGGAAUUCCACGUGUAGCGGUGAAAUGCGUAGAUAUGUGGAGGAACACCUGUGGCGAAAGCGGUUUUCUAGUUUAUUCCUGACGCUGAGGCCCGAAAGCUAGGGGAGCAAACAGGAUUAGAUACCCUGGUAGUCC
rnacentral:rRNA from 1 species